UUUUCAGUCUGACACAGAACAU
rnacentral:miRNA from 1 species